rnacentral:rRNA from 1 species
UACGAAGGACCCGAGCGUUAUCCGGAUUUAUUGGGUUUAAAGGGUGCGUAGGCGGAUUAGUAAGUCAGUGGUGAAAGCCCAUCGCUUAACGGUGGAACUGCCAUUGAUACUGCUAGUCUUGAGUAUGGUUGAGGUGGGCGGAAUGUGUCAUGUAGCGGUGAAAUGCUUAGAUAUGACACAGAACACCAAUUGCGAAGGCAGCUCGCUAAACCAUAACUGACGCUGAUGCACGAAAGCGUGGGGAGCAAACAGG